AUUGAACGCUGGCGGAAUGCUGUACACAUGCAAGUCGAACGGCAGCAUAGGUGCUUGCACCUGAUGGCGAGUGGCGAACGGGUGAGUAAUAUAUCGGAACGUGCCCAGUCGUGGGGGAUAACGUAGCGAAAGCUACGCUAAUACCGCAUACGAUCUACGGAUGAAAGCGGGGGACCUUCGGGCCUCGCGCGAUUGGAGCGGCCGAUAUCAGAUUAGGUAGUUGGUGGGGUAAAGGCUCACCAAGCCAACGAUCUGUAGCUGGGCUGAGAGGGCAACCAGCCACACUGGGACAGCGACACGGCCCAGCCUCCUACGGGAGGCAGCAGUGGGGAAGUUUUGACAAUGGACGCAAGUCUGAUCCAGCCAUUCCGCGUGCAGGACGAAGGCCUUCGGGUUGUAAACUGCUUUUGUACAGAACGAAAAGGUUUCUACUAAUACUGGGGGCUCAUGACGGUACUGUAAGAAUAAGCACCGGCUAACUACGUGCCAGCCGCCGCGGUAA
rnacentral:rRNA from 1 species